GCGGGGCUGCCCGGUGCGUCAGGCCUGCAUAUCCCCGGGGCCGAUAAGAACCUCUAGGGAGCUGUCCCUGCCGGGACCCUGGUUCCGGUAUAUGGCACCCACCUGCUGGAGCAGGGCCCACGAGGAGAUACUAAUGGCCAACGGCCGAGGCGGCUCCGCC
rnacentral:other from 1 species